rnacentral:rRNA from 1 species
CCUACGGGUGGCAGCAGUGAGGAAUAUUGGUCAAUGGUCGAGAGUCUGAACCAGCCAAGUAGCGUGAAGGAUGACUGCCCUAUGGGUUGUAAACUUCUUUUAUAUGGGAAUAAAAUGUUCCACGUGUGGGAUGUUGUAGGUACCAUAUGAAAAAGGAUCUGCUAACGCCGUGCCAGCAGCCGCGGUAAUACGGAGGAUCCGGGCGUUAACCGGAUUUAUUGGGUUUAAAGGGAGCGGAAGUGGAUUUUUAAGUCAGUUGUGAAAGUUUGCGGCUCAACCGUAAAAUUGCAGUUGAAACUGGCAGUCUUGAGUACAGUAGAGGUGGGCGGAAUUCGUGGUGUAGCGGUGAAAUGCUUAGAUAUUACGAAGAACUCCGAUUGCGAAGGCAGCUCACUGGACUGCAACUGACACUGAGGCUCGAAAGUGUGGGUAUCAAACAGGAUUAGAUACCCCUGUAGUC